rnacentral:rRNA from 1 species
AAACCUGAGAAACCCAAAAGAUCGAAUGGGGAGAUUCAUCGUCAGCGAUUUUGGUACGUGUGCGGUUCGCGAUGCCGGAGACUUCGGUCUCAUGGUACGCGUCCGCAUGUUUUUUAUUGCCUCGAUCGUCGGCGUGCACUUCUCCCCUAGUAGGACGUCGCGACCCGUUGGGUGUCGGUCUACGGCCCGGUGGGUAGCCUGUCUCGUGUGCGCUUCGCGGCGUUACGCGGUUCAGACCCCCGGUUGCCCGACCGGCUGCCCGGCGGUACUCGCACGGUAUCUGGCCGCAAAUAUUCGAACUGCGUCCGGCCCGUCGCAAGCGAGGCAAGUGUUUCCCGGCUGUACGGAUCUAAUGCCGUCACCGGGCCUUGCCAGCUGUUGGCUGACGGUGUCCUAGGACAGGCUAACAGAUACCGGUCGGCGACGCUACUGCUUUGGGUACUUUCAGGACCCGUCUUGAAACACGGACCAAGGAGUCUAACAUGUGCGCGAGUCAUUGGGAACUAUUAAGCCUAAAGGCGCAAUGAAAGUGAAGGUCGGCCUUGCGCCGACCGAGGGAGGAUGGGCCGCGUCACGAUGCGGUCCCGCACUCCCGGGGCGUCUCGUUCUCAU